rnacentral:miRNA from 1 species
GGCCAACCUGCAUUGGAGUUGUUAUUUCCAGCUGGCACAGCCGAGAACUAGAGUAACGUAUUGUUUGACGACAUCCUUGUUGUUGCUGCUGUUGCUACUAUUGCUGCUGAUGCUGUUGCUGCUGAUCCUGAUGGUGAUGCUGCUGUUGCUGUUGUUACGGUAAAAGUCCU